UAGAACUAUUGCAAUGAAGUGCAGAUGGUUUACCAAAAACUAAAGUGUACUGUAUAUUUGUUAUCUUAUUCAAUAUGCACUGGUAACUACACGCAUAUAAAGUAUCUGUUUUCUGUAUAUUAUUCAUAAUUGUUUCUGUCUAUAGUCCUGGAGAACUCACAAAUGCACUGUAGAUUCAACUACAUUUUUUUUAUUAAUUUACGUUUUCACAUGCUUAUAAUGACAACAAACCUGUCAUUGACUGUGACUGUUUCAUGUAGUUUUUCUUCUCUUUGCAGAAUAACAUUCUUGAAAAAGCAGAAGCCAUCAUUGGUCCAUACUUGGAAUGCUGUGAAGUGAGCUGGUCAGUAAUGUAAUUUUCCUGGUAUGCAAGUUUGCUCCACAAAAUAAAGUGGUCCAGGAAAUAUAUGAAAAUAAGGAUGUUCAUGAUUCAAUAUCCUAAACUAAACCCUUCAGGAAGAAGUUGCAAACAUGUCUGGAGACUUUGAGAAGAUAUCUGGCAAGUCAACCUAUGGCCUGGUUUAAAGGGAGCACAUUCAAACUACAGCAGCUUAAUGAUACACCUGCUCUAACUUUUUGUUGUGAAAUGUUCCUGUGGAUUAUACAUGCAUUUAAUUCUCUGGAUUUGUUUGUAAUUGUAUAAAAAUGGAAAGAAGUCAUAAUUAUACUUGAUUAUUUUAUUGUAAUAUUGGACCUGUAAACUGAUUAUUUUCAAUCAAAAUUUAUUUUAUUUUGUUCUUACACAAACAAUUGAAUUGACAUUGAAUUAAACAACAUUAACAGCAUGGAGAAAAAGAAAAUAACUAACUAUUUUGGCUAUUUUUUACAUUACAAGCGCAACUGCAAUAGACUAUGAGAACACUAAGUGGUUGCACAUACUGUAGAUUGACACUGGGAUCUUUUGCAAUCACAUUUAACACAAGUCAACUCACAAAAAUAACACAAGUCAACUCUGUGACAGAAGACCUAUCAGAUGGUAAUUGUUUCUCAUGUGAACAUAUGUAAAAAUGUAUUUACUCAUGGAUUUGAUGCUUUUUUUCACAGUGGAGAAGCAAGAUGUGUGAUCAUAUGAACCUAGAAAUGCACUGCUGACAUGGCCAAUCGCAUGGUUGUCUGCUAUAAAUAAAUAAAAUGGCAUAUGCUUGGAAUAAUAAAUAAAUUUAAAUGUAAUAUACUAUUCAUUAUUUAUUUAAAUCUCUGGUUUAAAAAUAGGAAAAUAGACCCACUAUAGUUUAAAUAGUUUUUUUAAAUUUUAUCUCUCAAAAUAAUGGGUGUCAUUUAAAAAUGUGGAGAUUAGCAGAAAUGCGUUGCAACCUCUUAUUUAUAUGAGGUAAACAAAGCUGCUUGGUUUACAUUUUUAUGUAUGUACUUGUAGGGCUAUACAUAUUUUAAAGUUGUAUUGUAUACCUGUUACUGCCAUAAUAAUGACCCAUUUCAAAUGUUUACAUGCUUUCUUGUCUUUUUGUUCUUAACAGCACUCAAUUGUUGUGGUGGAGCAUUUAUUAAAUAUUGUUCUUGUAAAUACUUUAUAGCAUUUCAGUAUUUUUUUUCAGUAAUAUGCAUGCAAAGUACAACAGUUAGUAUAUCAUGUUAAACGGUGGUCAAAAAGGAUUUAAACAGUUAGUUUUGAAUCUAUUUCU